UACGAAGGGGGCUAGCGUUGCUCGGAAUCACUGGGCGUAAAGCGCACGUAGGCGGGUCUUUAAGUCAGGGGUGAAAUCCCGGAGCUCAACUCCGGAACUGCCUUUGAUACUGGAGAUCUUGAGUCCGGGAGAGGUGAGUGGAACUCCGAGUGUAGAGGUGAAAUUCGUAGAUAUUCGGAGGAACACCAGUGGCGAAGGCGGCUCACUGGUCCAUUACUGACGCUGAGGUGCGAAAGCGUGGGGAGCAAACAGG
rnacentral:rRNA from 1 species